UCCUAUCCUCUUUUUCUAUGCCUUGAUGGUAGCUCCAUGGUGGCUGAUCCCAGAAGAGGAAGAGGCCAUUUCCUUUAGCAUUCUCUGAAGUAUAUGCCAUGGUGCCAUUCCCUUGCUAGCUGCAUGCUGUUCCCAGAGCAGGAAGAGAAGAUGAAGAAGUGGAAGAGCACGAGAGACACUUCAUUUAGCAUUCUCUCAAACAGUGUACUAUUACAUAGUAUAGCAUGUU